rnacentral:lncRNA from 1 species
UCUGUAUUUUGAAUCAGAGAUGUUUCUUCGGAUCUGAAAUUAGUGAGAGACGAUGGGAAUCAAUUUUCUCCCUCUUCAAAAUCUAUGGCUUCUCUGAAACCCAAAUCUCCAACCUCAUAAGAAAAAGGCCAAUACUGCUAUCUUCUCAUCCAGACAAAAUACUAAAACCCAAAUUAGAUUUCUUCAAUUCAUAUGGGUUUUCACCCUCUGACCUUGAUAAAAUACUCACUACGGACCCCCGUAUCAUGAAUCGAAGUCUUGAUAAUCAAAUUAUACCUUCGUGUGAGUUGUUGAAGAGUUUACUUGGGGAUAAUGAGAGUGUAAUUGCUGUAAUAAAGAGGCACAUUCCGGUACUCAAGCAAGACCUUAAAAAAAGAUUAGCACCCAAUAUUGCUGUAUUGCGCGAUUAUGGCGUGUUGGAUGAUAGGAUUAGCACGACGCUAAGGAGACAUCCUAGGACAUUGGUGCAAGCUCCUGAUAGGUUUAUAUUGCUGGUUAAAGAGAUUAAGGGAAUGGGUUUUGAACCGGUAAAGAGUCAUUUUAUUGUGGGAUUAGAGGUAUUGUCUGGAUUGAGCAAAUCAAUGUUUAAGCGAAAGUGGGAUCUUUAUAGCAAGUGGGGUUGGUCAGAUGAUGAGAUUCAUUCGGCAUUUAGGAGGCUACCCCAAUGUAUGUCACUUUCGGAGGAGAAGUUGGAGCGGGUGAUGGUUUUUUUGGUUAACAGAAUGGGAUGGGAUGCAUCAAAGGUUGCAUCUUGUCCUUCUGUUGUUACUUAUAGUCUGGACAAGCGGACUAUUCCACGGUGUUUGGUUGUUCAGUUUUUGUUGUCUAAGGGUGUGAUACAGGACUUAACAUUGAGUUCAUUCAUCCCGAGGUUGGAGAAACAAUUCUUAGAAAAGUUUGUGGUAAAAUAUUGUGCAGAAUUCCCUGAAGUUCUUGAUUUGUAUGGAAGGAUAGUGGAUGAUAUACAGAAAUUGCAGGUUAGUUGACUUUCCACCGCGGGGGUAACAUGCAAUAAACUCAUUUUUGUUCAACUCAAAUUCCAAUUAUUGAAUACUUUAUUGGCAGGGGCAAAACUAUUCUCUCUCUCUCAUGUAAAUUAAUGGAGUGGUUAGUAUGAAGUUAACUUUGGUUAAUUGAUCAAUAUAGGGUCGACACGCAGGCCGGAAGGUGAUCUCUUUGCGUGUGAACAUUGUGUUGGUCAAUUGAUCAACUUAUCAUGAAGUUAACUUCAUGGUAACCAGAUCCGUAAAUUAAUGGGAAUAAUUUUCUUCUGUAGUAGCAGUAGUAUAUAUUAUAUAUGAGUAAAUCUAUACACACACCCAUUUUACUCCCUCCUUCCCGAUACACACCUCCGACAAUGGCCUAUUUUUUUUUUUAAAAUUUUUGCCAAAACUUUAAUGGCCCCUUUUUCAACCUUUUCUAUUUUGCAGUUUCAACCAUCUGUCUUCUCUCACGCAUCUCUCUCUUCGGGGGUGUAUUCAAUUAAGAUUUUUAAAGACUUUUUUUAAGUGACAUACUUUGUAGAAUUUGUGAGAUUUUAAUGACUUUCAAAGACUUUAAACACUUUUUUAAAAUGACUUUUAUAGACUCUAUGAAAUAAGUAAUAGACUUUUAUAAACUUUUUAUCAAGACUGUGAUAGACUUUUGUAUACUUCUAAUAUAUCUUGCAACUUAUAUUAAUUGUUAAUUAACCCAUGUGUACAACAUCUCCCUCUUUUUUCAUGAACUAAAGUAAAUCUCAUUAUAUUAUUGUGGCAUGAGAUUUUAUAUAUGUUGAAAGCGUUCAUAUUAUUCUACUCAUUUCAUAAUACAUUUGGAUACUCGGAUACCAAUAAAACUUUAGAAACUACAGACGCAAUACAAAAAUUAAACUCACUUUUCAUUGAGCUAUAUAUACUUUAUGCAUAUGCGUACGCUUAUUUGGAAUUAUUGUUUUUCAUUCUGAUCUACAAAAGUUGUCAUCAAUACUUAUUUACGUAACUAGCAAUUAAAAAAAUUAAUAUAAACAUUUGUAAUAUAUAUCGAUUUCCAUUCAAAUAUUUGAAUAUUACCUCGUCUUAGUAUCAAAAUUUGCAAAUAAAAAUAAUAUAUACUUGUUUCAUGUAUAUUUUAAAAUAGCAAGUUAUUUUUCAAAUAAAAAAAUAUUUUUUUAUUUAUAUUCUUUUUAAUAAAUUUUUAGUUUAGUAAUGUAAUAUAUAAUAAAAUGAUGAUAAAAAGCUUGAAGAACUUAUAUAUUUUAUACAACUAUAUAUCACUAUAAAGUACGUACUCCUAUAUAAAUUACUUUCCCUCUCUCAUUUUUUUUCUUCAUUUAACUCUAAUUAAGUUAAUUUACGAAAUUAUAAAAUUAUAAAAUAUUGUGUAUUUAUUUUUAUUUUUGAAAUAAUAACGUGUGUUUAUUAUUAAAUAACAAAUAAAUUCAAAUUUUAAAAAUUUUGAAUUUUGUACGUUGACUACAAAAACAAAAUAAAUGUUUUAUUUUUGUGGGUACAGCAGAAGUAUUAAUUAUUCUAGAUUAUAAAGUAAUUAGAAAUAUUGGAUUCAUGUGAAGUAAUUAGAAAUAUUGAAUUCAUGUGAAUUGUAUUUUAAAUUUAUUUAGUUUAUUAAGAUGAGAUAUGAAGUCUUUAGAAAUCUUUAGAGAUGAGGUCAGACUUUGGAUAUGGGUUGAUAGUUAUAAUUCUUCUUCUAAAGUCUGUCAAACUCUACCAUUUAAUAGAAAUCUGAAAAGUCUAUGACUUUUUGAAUAUCAAAAUACUUUUAUAGACUUUGUAAAAAUCUUAAUUCAAUACCACCUAACUUUUAAAGACAUUAAAAAAGUUGUAAUUGAAUACCACUAGAUUUUUAUAAAUUUUUUAAAUGUCUUGAUUGAAUACAACCAAACUUUUAAAAUCUUUAAAAGUCUUUAAAAAUCUUAAUUGAAUACACCCCCUUCUUUUCCCCAAAUCAUCUCAUUCUAAUUAACCCAAAAUCAACGUCUCUCUCCUUCCUGUCUAUUUCUCUUUGACCCAAUAGCUGUGAAAUCAUUCAGUCUUACCUCUAAUCUCUACAUAACUAGAACCUUAAUCACUCCAAAUCAGUGUCUCUCUCGUCGCAUCUAUCAAAUUACUCACUCCUAGUACAUGUGUCCCUUUUAGCCUCUUAACAAGAAGAACAUCAAACAGCCAUGGCUGCCGAAUCCUCAAGAUCUAGUCCCUCUGAGAUUCCUAUGUCGGAAGCCUGAUCAACUUAAUUUCCAAGUCUGAAAUUCGAUACGAAGGCAUUCUUGUUAAUUCUAAUACUGCCGAAUCAAGCAUCGAAAUGGUAACUCCUGAUUUCUUACCCUUUAUUUUAUUUUUUAUUUUUUUGAAUUUGUUGUGGGGAUUUCUAUUUUUGUUAAAUUGUUAUGGGAUUCUGUUUAUUGGUGUAUGCAUUUUAGUUUGAAUUAUGUUGAUCACAUACAGAAAUAGUGACGUGACCUGCAUUGACAAUUAUAAAUUGGGGGUUUUCCUUGAUUUCUUGUCUAAUUGGGUUUUUUGUUUGUUUUGUCUUGUCACUCUGAGUAGGAGUAAAAAUAUUGAUACUUUUUCUUUGUAAUAUUUGAGUUUGGUGGAAUCAAGGGGGUCUGUUUGCAUUUUGCUAUUAGUGGUUGCUCUCUGAGUAUAAGAUCCCUGAACUGUUGGUUACAUUAUUUUCCCAAAUUUGAUAAAGCUUCCACUUUUUUAUAAUUUUUGCAAAUGGGUAUGGCUCUUUAUUAGUGCAGAUUUAGAUUUGCAACUGAAUCCUGUUGCCAUUAUUAUUGAUGCAUUAUUCUUGAAGAUUUUGUUUAACCUGCAUUUGGGAAUUGUUUUGUUUGUUCUUCUCCCAACUUCUUUUAUCAGACAAGUGCUUGAAAAUAGAUAGUAGCUGAGCCAUAAACUAGACAUUACAUGAACAAUUUAUCAUCAAUUACAUAAUACCUUAAUUGUGUUAGUGCUUUGCUUUGUUUGGCAUACAAUUAAUGUUUUGUUUCUAUUUUAUUUCCAAUUUUGCAAGGCUCUCAAAAAUUUGUCAAUAAAUGCUUUAAUUUUGUUUAUUAAGAUUGUACUGGUGUGAUUGAUUGUGAAUCUUGCUCAAGGUGAUUAUUUAAGUAUUGAUUCUACUUAUCAGUUCUUUCAAAUUAGAUGUGAAGUUCAAUUUUAAUGUAUUAGAUAGUUAACAUUUGCUUUGUAUUUUCCUUUUUUCUUACAAAUUGCAGAUCCAUAAAUGAGACUGGGAAUGGACCUGGAUUUUGACAAAUAUUGUGUAGUCUAUGGAAGUCCUAAUACUGUUGUCUGUUCUUCCAUGUAUGGGCCAUUGUUCCAAAGUUGAAAGGAAAAAGGCCGAAGGAAAACCCAAAUAUGGAAAUGAUCUGUUGAGCCACAAUAAGGGCUUCAAUGAUACUCCCUCCAUCCCAAAAUAUUUGAUGUUCUACAUAUUUUCACACAGAUUAAGAAUAGAUGUAAUUUUUCUAUUUUACCCUUAAUUAAUACUUUAUCUCGCCGGAUCUGACCAUUCAACUCCUUCUCAACUCUUCUUCUCCAUCUCCUCAUUAGCCGGAUCCAACUCUUCUUUUUCAUCUCUUCUCUUAUCAGUCGCACUCACUGAAUUCCGGCAGCUUCCAAAUCCGAACAACAUUGGUUUGGGAGCCAGUGUAGAGUAGGCCGUUAGAUGUGGCCAUGGACAAGAUCUGGCCGUUCUUCUUAAGGACAGAAGAGAUGCAACUGUAGGUGUGGGUGGUACCGUUGACGUGGCGGGGGGAAGAAGGUUGGGAAUUGCUGACGUGGAAGCAGGAGGAGGAGGAGAGAGAAGGGGAGCUUAGUCGAGGUGGCGUUAAUAAAGAAGCUGGUGCAGGAGGUUGUUCAGAGUGGAAGCUGUCUUCUUUAAGAGAGAGGCUUCUCAAGAAAUUGUUGUAGUGGGGGGUUUCUACUCUUAUUGCAAAAGAUGGAGGACUGAGAUUGGGGGUAGCCUCUAUUUCUUCCAUAUCUCUUUCUCUCCCUCUCUCCCUCUCUCCCUCUCCUGUUAUUCCUUGUGAGUCUUGAAGAAGAAGAAACGGUGACCGAGUUUCAGGAAAAAUAGGCAUUAAUAGUGGUAGAGAAGGAAGGGCACAGAAGGAAAAUAAAUGGCAAAAUAUUCUUGGAAUUGUAGAACGUCAAAUAUUUUGGAAAAAAAAAAACUCUUAAAAUGUCAAAUAUUUUGGGAUGGAGGGAGUAUUAGUUUUCAUAGUAAUGGUUGAGAUUUGUCAUUGUAGACUGAGGUGCUGUUUGUUUACAUCUAAUUGACUUUUAAUGGAUUGCCUCAUAUUUGUUAAGAGAUAUGAUAUUUUUUUUUUGUUACCUUUGAAUGUCUCUUAAUCAGUAAGACAUAAAUGAUAUCUUAAUAAUUAAGAGGUUCCUCUUAAUAAAAAAAUUUCAUAAAUUGUUUUUAUAUAAAUAUAUUCAAUAAUAUUAUGCACUUAUUUUUAUUAAAUUGAAUAUUUAAAAUUAUUAAAUAAAAUUUUAUCCUUUAAAAUGGUAAAAUAGUGUCGUUAAGAGAAUUUAUUUUUUAGUUAUCAAACAAUUUUUUAGAUUCAAACCUCAUAACCAUUCAGAUGAUUUAAUUUAUUAAGACAUCAUAAUUAUUCAGAUCUUAAUUCUCAUUUUUAUUAAACACAACAUGAAUUUGUGUAUUAGGAUGAAUACAAUAUUAUAGAUGCACUUUGUAUUGGUUCUAAUUCUAAUCAUGUCGCUAAUGCUACGUUUGGAUUGAAGGAAUAGAAUGAAAAGUAGAACGAUUCAUUCCAUUCUAGUAGGAAUGAAUUAUUCCAUGUUCUCCCUCCUCUAAGGAACCAAAUAAUUUUUUUCAUUCCAUAAGAAUGAGUCAUUCCCUUUCUCAUUCCACUAAUCUAAACGUAGCAUAAGAGAAGUUAUUAGAAUAGACUAAAUUGACGAACACAAUAAUUGGAUUUUAUUUUAUACACUAUAAUCAAUAUUUACAUGUUUACCAGGGACGUAUCCCAGGUAACAAAAAAAUGAUGAUAUAAUAUUGUACUGCAAAUAAGACAAUAUUUUCAUUGCACCGUGUGACAAUACAUGUUGUACCUCUUCACUCAUUCACUUUGUGAGCUUUGCUUGCUUGGGAUCCUCCUGCGAUAGUCUUGGGGGAGAAUGUUGGUCGUGAUGAACAUGGGGUCAUGUACACAUUCAUACUCAUGCCACAAAUGGUCAUGCUCAUGGCACUGCCGUCUCUUCUCAAGAAGAACAAUUCUCAAAUGCAGGUUAAGCAAGAUCAUCAAGAAUAAUGCAUCAACAAUAAUGGCAACACGAUUCAGUUGCAAAUCUAAAUCUGCACUAAUAAAGAGCCAUACUCUGAGAGCAAGAAUCUUGUACUCAGAAGGACCCCACUACUAAUUCCAAAGCUCCAGAUCAGAAAAACCUCCACACACUAAUCUUGAUCCCACCAAACACAAACAAAGAAAAAGUAUCAAUGUUUCUUACUCAUACUUAGAGUGACAGACAAAACAUACAAAAACCCAAUUAGACCAAAAAUCAUAUGUAAAGAAAACAUCUAUUCAAUGUAAGCCACAAACAAUACAAAUUAUUAAACAACAAUCAUAAAAUAAAAAAUCUACUUCAAUAAAAGUAAUAAUGCAAGACAAAGCUUCAGCAAGAACACUUUAAGCUACACAAAAUGAGCCGAAACAGACUGAGUUGGUUUCAAAGAUCUAACCAAGAAAGGCAUAGAAAUUUCUAACCAAACCCAACUGUGAACAAUGUCUCUUCUACAAUGGGCGCCUCUCAAAUUAAUUCAAGGGUUUGAAUAGAUAAAGCCUCUCUCUUGCAAAGAUAGAAGCUUUGUACAUGUACAACGUAGAUCAACGUAGGCUUCCAACGUAGGAAUCAACGGAGGCACUAGAUCUUGAGGAUUCGGCAGCCAUGGCUGUUUGAUGUUCUUCUUGUUAAGAGGCUAAAAGGGACACAUGUAUGUAAGGAAUAGGAAUCGGUUAGUAAUCAAGUCGUAGAGUGGGUACUGACACAACAUUUUAGAUAUCAAUAAGUCUUGGCAGACAGCUUUCUUGGACACAAAAAUUGGACAUUUUCAAUUUUCCUGCCCAAGAAAGCUGUCUGCGUAGGACUCUUUAGAUAUAUAUCAUGACAUUAGUUGUCCUUGUUUGGUAUUGACACAACAUUGUAGGUACUACCUCCGUUCCUUAAUAUAGGUCGUUUUACAGAAAUAUUUUUGUUUCUAAAUAUAAGUCGUUUGAGAAUUUCAAGUAAAUAUUAAUUGCUUAAUUUCCAAUAUUACCCCAAGUAAUAAAUAUAACUUUGGUUCUCUCACUAUUUUUUGACCAAUAAAUAAUACUCUUUUUUUUUUUCAAUACAAGAGCAAUAUAGACAAUUGAUAGCAUAUUUAAUGUUUUACAAUCAUUUUCUUAAUACUUGUGUACAAAUCUAAAUAUUAAGGAACGGAGGGAGUAAUGUGUAGUAAUUAUAUAUAUGCAUGUAUUAUAUCUUAUGGAAAAUAAAUAGACUAAAAAAAAACACUAUGUAAUGUGUCAAAGACACCGCUUUUUAGAAAAAAAAAGGUUAUGUAAUGUGUCAAAUAGACAAUGCUUUUUUAAAAAAAAAACGUUGUGAAAUGUGUCAAAUACACAACGUUUUUGUUUAAAAAACGUUGCAUAAUGUGUCAAAUACACAACUAAAAAACGUUGUCUAAUGUGUCAAAAAACAACGUUUUAAAAACGUUGUGUAAAUGUGUCUAAUAGAUGACAUUACUGACCACCACGUUUUUGGGUGGCCUAUUACGAUGUUUUUUAAACGUUAUCUAUUUACUUUUUCUACUAGUAUAGCUAAGGUUUUGUCUUCACAGAUCCUUACAAUGUACUAGGAGUGAGUAAUUUGAUAGAGGCGACGAGAGAGACCCUGAUUUGGAGUGAUUAAGAUUCUAGUUAUGUAGAGAUUAGAUGCAGACUGAAUGAUUUCAAAGAGAAAUAGAGAGAAAGGAGGGGUUGAUUUUGGGUUAAUUAGAAUGAGAGGAUUUGGGGAAAAGAAGAGAGAUGUGUGAGAGGAAAGAUGGUUGAAACUGCAGAAUAAAAAAGGUUGAAGAAGGGGUCAUUAAAGUUUUGUUGAAGAAUUAAAAAAAAUAAAAAAUAGGCGAUUGUCAAAACGACAUAUGGAGGUGAGUAUCGGGAAGGAGGGAGUAAAAUGAAAAUGUCUCAAAUUUGUUUUUAAAAAGUCAAUAUUAAUUUUACUCUACCACCAAAUACUAUAUUGAUAUUACCUGUUGUUGGUUAUGUUCCAAAAUUUGUAAUUUUGAUAUAGUCUCAUAUCAUCUAUUUUAAAAGAUUUCUUUGUGUAUAUUAAUAUAUGUUGGCUUGGGUUUAGUAACAUGGUUGAGGAAAUAGGAAUGGGCUCGCGCACAUGAGGAUGGCUAAGGAAUUGGGCUAGGCCAAGCUCUUUGGUUCUUGGACUUUCGGUCAGAAAACCUUAGUACGCCCGCGCAGGGGGUAGGUGUCGAUUCGGUCGAUUAUGCCUCGCGGGUGCACCUAGGUAGCCACUGUUUUGCUUAAAUCCCUAAUUUUUUAUUUCUUUUUAUACUAAGCCUACCCUAAUUUUUUAUUUCUUUUUAUACUAAGCCUAAUUUAAUACCCUAGCCGUUUUUCCCCAACAUUCAUUAGCGUAAACCUUAUUUAUUACCAACGUUGUUUCCCUAACGUUCCUUUUACUGUUGAUUCUCAACGUUUUCUCACAACCUUCUUCUUCCAACGUUCUUCUUCUUCCUAUCAUAUAUAUAUAUAUAUAUAUAUAUAUAUCAUGUUAUUCUGGAUAAUCCACAAAGACAAGGCCACAGUCUCCUUCUAUGAGUACAUACGAUCGGAGACUUCGCCGUUGAAUCCUGGAGAGUGACCGCCGGCAGCCCAUUUGUACUUGUGAUUAUUAUCAAUGGGGGUAAAAUCACUUUUUAGGACAGUAGCAUUGCUACGCCUCGGUUUCCAGCUAAGUUGUUCCAAUUUACUGUAUUAUUCGUCUUGUUAAUUCUGCUUCAUAUUCCAACACCUGUUCAUCCUUUGAAUUCAUGUAUUUUUACUGAUCAUAUUCUUGUUAGGAACUAUAGUUUAUGAGUACAAACAACUCUUAUAAAAAAUUAAUUUACAAAAUGAUGUGUCAAAAUUUAAUUAGUAAAUAAUUGAUCAUACAUGGACGAGAUCAGUGAUUGUACACAUAGUCCACGGCUAGUAGGAUAUACAAAUCCCCGGCAACGGCGCCAAAAACUUGUUGGCUUGUUUCGGUGUUAACAAAACAGACACACACGUGAAAGUAUACACGAUCAACAAGUAAUAUAUGAUAAGUCAAGUAUCGUUCCCAUGGAGAAAAGCAAUUAUCUCUAAUCUAUCAUGCAACAACUUUGUAGCUAUUUCUGGCUGCUUAAACGAGUGAAUAAGAUGUGAUUUAACUAAAAAUAACAAUUAUCAACUAAUAAACUAAUUAACACACGAUUGAUUCAAAUAGGACAGAUAUAGGAUCCUAACUUUACUUACUGCAUCACCUAGAUUAUACACCUCUUGUUAAACCUAGUUAAUUACUUCGGAUUGCUAGUCAAGAGCACGAAGGUAAAACAUGGCUAUCUUUCUAUAUACCAUGCCCAAAUCACAUAAAAUCCACAAAAUAGAUAGAAUUCAUAUGAACAUCAAUAUUACCUAACUCACUAUAUUUCUAUGUGACUUACAAGUAAUAUUAAUUUAAGUGCAAACUCUCUCAAAUGACUACACAUGGUAAGCCGGUAUAUGUCUAUCUGGAUUACGAAUCACAAAAUCUAUCACAUGCAAAUUUCAUGAACACAUGCUAACAUGGCCAAAUCUGAAUUUGUACUUCCUCUUUCAAUUCCAUACAAAUUAUUAAGGUAGAUGGUGAUCAAGCAUCUAAACAAUAUACACAACCAUGCUAGGCAAUCCAUACAUAAUCAAUCAAGUGCAACAAAGAGGCAUAUAGAUCUGAAUUAAGCAAUAAGCUCCAUUAGAAUCCCAUAAUGGUGAUUAGUUCAUCUCUGAAUCAAUAACUAUUAUGGGAUUUGAUCCAAGCAUUGAGAUAAUACAAUGAAAGCAAAGAGAACUAAGAGAAUAGGAAAUUGCAAAUCUAAUAAAUCUAUGUCCAAAGUAAACCUCCAAGCUCAGUUCAAAUCCACAAUAAGCUCCAUUAGAAUCUCAUAAUGGUGAUUAGUUCAUCUCUGAAUCAAUAACAAUUAUGGGAUUUGAUUCAAGCAUUGAGAUAAUACAAUGAAAGCAAAGAGAGCUAAGAGAAUAGGAAAUUGCAAAUCUGAUAAAUCUCUGUCCUAAGUAAACCUCCAACUCAGUUCAAAUCCACGAUCAAACCAAGUUGAAACCCUAAUAGUCAAAAUCUACUAAAAACCAAAUAGAGAAGCCAAAAUAGUAAACUAUAUCUAAAAACUCUCUAGCUCUUCAAAACCCUAGAAAAGGAAAAUAAAAAUGAUUGAAUGAAUAUCUCGUAACUUGCAAAUACACCCUUUUUAGAAAAAUACGCUACAACAAAUUUUAAGUGAAAAGACAAUAUGUGAAGAAUUUUGACUGGCGCGGCCCCGUAAACCUUUUGGGGCGCGGGCGCGCUGAUCUGCAGGCCGGUCUCCUCCUGACGUGGGUGCGCCACUUUUAUUCUUCAUGUUGGCGCGGCCGCGCUAUGCUGUAUUUCUGCCUUCUGCUUGCUGGUGCAUUGUUGUCCCUUUGCUGCUGCCUUAGCCCUUCAUUUGCCUUCAAUUCCCACUGAUCAGAGGCCAUUUCACAUCCUCAUACUAUGCUCCAUCUUCAGUUCACCAUAUGCUCACCAUCUUGCCAAGUCCAUCAGUCCAUGCCCUUUCCAUGCCAUUGCUUGCCAUUUGAGUUUUCUUAAUGCAACCUAUAAAACAAAGAUAAAAAAAACAUAAGACGACACUAAAAUACUUGAGAUUAAGCCAUAAUUCUAGCAAGUUGAUAGCCAAUACGUAGGUAUAAAACCUACUUAUCAUGAUGUGAUUUCAGGCAAAGGAGGAUGCUCUGCGUGUAGUCUGGUUUAAACCCUGCUCAUUGUGCAAAAUGUAUUGUUGCAGUAAUUUAUAAAAUUAAGUGGCGCAUCAGUUUCAUUUGUGUUUGUUUCAAUUUAAUAUGUAAAGGAGUUCACGGCUGAGAUUCUUACACAAGCAUUAGCUCCUAGUUGCGUAUUAGAUUAGCUGGCUUUUGGAGUGAAUUAGCUGCAACUUUUAACAGUACAAUUUCUUCAACCUCUUGCCUUUUCAGUUUCCUUAACCAUGAAUUUAUCUUUGUUGUUUCUCUAUUCUGGUAAGUAUUUUAUAAGGACACACUAUUUUAAUUUUAUCCUUAUUUCUACAUUGUAGGUCACAAAACUUUUAUGCAUCAACUUGUUUGGUACCGUUCUAUGUCAAGGCGCUGCUGCAGAAAUUAGAUGGAUGUAUUCAGCUCAGCAGUUGCUUAUUGUGGCCUUGUGGGAUUGUAAUAUACGAUAGUUGGUAAUGCCUUGACCCUUGGGUAAUUCUUGCUUGGUAGAUAUCCCUAAAAUCAAAUUCUCUCUACUGAAUUGCAUAUCAAAAUUUUAGACAUUGAUUUUAUUACCUUACAUGAAAAAAAGAAAAAAAAAGGGUAAUCUGCAAUCCAAUUUACUCUGAACAUAUUUCUGUUACAAUUGUAUUUUGUCGUCUUAUAAUUUACAAGAAAACCAUCAUCAGUUUGCUUGUUAGAGGAGCAGCCAUUUAUGUUUAUCAUCCUACAAUGUAACCUUGGGUAGUUGUUGAUAUAUUCAGUUUUCUUCUGAUAUAAAGUUGAGUUGGAAUGAUUUUUAGUAAACCUAGUCCUGGAGAGCCAUGUCACACAUGGCGAUGAGAAGGUGGCGAAACCCGUGUUUGAAAUUUAGCUGAAUUUUUUUUUAAUUAUUAUUAUUAUUACUACUUAUUUUGAUUGAUCGGUGUAUUUUUUAGUUUGUGAAUUAUUGUUUUUAAGUUGGUAUGUGUUUUUAGUAAUUUUAUUGGAUCUGAAUGAUGAGGAAUCCAUGCUGGUUUAUAUGCAAAUACAGUAUUUCUGCUUCCUUUUCAAUGAUUGAGGUGUAUUUUUAGGAAUACCCACACAAGAAAAAAAGAAGAAAAAUAAACUUAUAAAAAUGGGAGGUUUUUGGUCACUAACAGGAGCUAAUAUUGCCUUGGUAGGUCAGCUUUUGUUAGUACUAUAAUUAAUUCAUUGGUUCAUCUACUCGUGGUUAAUAUAAUUAAUUCAUUUGAGGUAAUAUAAUUAAUUCAUUGGUUCAUCUACUCGUGGUUAAUAUGUUCUCUUUUUGUUGUUAAGUAUGACCACCUUGAAGUAGUUAAUUCUCUAGUGAUGUAGCUUGGAUUCUAAUCACUCAAUUAUUGAAUGGGAUUUAUUACUUUCCAUUGUUACAGAACCUAAUUAGCCUCUUUAUUGAAGUGUCAGUUAGAUGUGCAUGCUACAGUGAAAAUAAAAUUCAUAUGGUGUUGAUUGAUUUUGAGGUAUUCCUUCGAGUAUGGGCUAUUUAAAUAGCUAGUUUUGUCUAAUUUAGCUUUAGCUGGUUGAGCUGGUAAGAUUUUUCUAUUGCUUAGUCUACAAGUAUGGCAGAUAGCCAGAUAAUGGCAUCUGUCAGAUUACUUAGUCUCUGCCUAUAUUUUGAUUCUAAGUUCUUGUGGUAUUCUGUUCAUAAUUCACUUGUUGGCCUUUCUUACUUGUAGGCACGCUAUUUACAGUUUCGAAAGUGGCCUGUUGAGUGGGGUUGGUGCCGGGACCUCCAGUCAUUCACUUUUAUUUUUGAAAGACAUAACAAGUGUAUAUGAGGUGAUCCAUUUGUUAUAAGGAAAAGACUUGUAUUUUCAGAAAAGUCGAUCUUAUAUUUUCAGAAAAGUUCAUUUGAAUGCGUGUUUGUUUAUGCUGAAAAUAUGUUUGAACUACUCUUUGUUGAUAUUGUCUAAGCUCAUCCAUAUCAUUGCAGAAUUAUAGCUUAACAUUCUUUCUGUGUUUUCUGUAUUCAGUGGUCGGUAUGCUGAUUUUUUCAAGACAACUAACCUCCUGCAAUUUUGGCGUUUAUGCAAUGGACUGCAUAUUUAUGGAGCACCUUUCUGUGCUUCUCUUUUGCUAAAUUAAAUCUGGUUUGACAGGAAACUUAAUGUUUUUUUCUUCCAAUGAAAAAACACCACUGCCAGGAAACUACUAGCUAGAUGAUUUGGGGUAUGCCAUCAGCAUCAACAUUAAAAAUUUUGAACACUUGAACCUCAUUAGACAUUUUUGAAUGAUCCUUAGUGCCAUCUCAGAAAGCAUAAUUCUGCGGGCUUUUAAAUUUCAGCUUCCUGUAGAACAAGGAGGUGGUGAGGGCAAAGCAAUGUACAUUGAUGCUGAGGGAACAUUCAGGCCACAGCGGCUCUUACAGAUAGUAGACAGGUGUUGCGCUGCUACCUUGACACAAAUUGUUGUUACAAGUCUGUUGCACCACAUCUUAAUUUUAUGGAUAGUUUGGUAUAUUAUGUGGAUGUAGUCAAAUUCACAAUUCAAUGUACGUAGUAGUAAUUAUAUUGAAAAGUGAAUUUGAAAUUGUAAACAUAGAAUGCUUACAUUUUAGAAUUUAGAUCUUUUUUAGCUAUAUAUCAUGGCAUUAGUUUUUCUUGUUUGGUACUGCACAACAUUGUAGGUAAUGUGUAGUAAUUAUAUAUGUGUAUGUAUUAUAUCUUAUGAAAAAUAAAUAGACAACUUUUUUUAGAAAAAAAAUAUUGUGUAAUGUGUCAAAGAUGCCGCUUUUUAGAAAAAAAAAAAGUUAUGUAAUUUGUCAAAUAGAUAAUGCUUUUUUUUUUAAAAACGUUGUGGAAUGUGUUAAAUGUUGUGUAAUGUGUCAAAUAGACAACUAAAAAGCGUUGUCUAAUGUGUCAAAAGACAACGUUUUAAAAAACGUUGUGUAAAUAUGUUUAAUAGAUGACAUUGCUGACCACGACGUUUUUGGGGGCCUAUUACAACGUUUUUUAAACUUUAUCUAUUUACUUUUUUCUACUAGUGUAGCUAAGGUUUUGUCUUCACAUAUCCUUACAAUGUACUAGGAGUGAGUAAUUUGAAGUGAUUAAGAUUCUAGUUAUGUAGAGAUUAGAUGUAGACUGAAUGAUUUCAAAGAGAAAUAGAGAGGAAGGAGGGGUUGAUUUUGGGUUAAUUAGAAUGAGAGGAUUUGGGGAAAAGAAGAGAGAUAAUUGAAACUGCAGAAUAGAAAAGGUUGAAGAAGGGGCCAUUAAAGUUUUGGCAAAGAAUAAAAAAAAAUGGCCGUCAAAACGACAUACGGGGAAAAGAAUAAAAAAAUAGACGGUUGUCAAAACGACAUACGGAGGUAAGCAUCGGGAAGGAGGGAGUAAAAUGAAAAUGUCUCAAAUUUAUUUUUAAAAAGUCAAUAUUAAUUUUACUCUACCACCAAACACUAUAUUGAUAUUACCUGUUCAUCCUUUGAAUUCAUGUACUUUUACUGAUCAUGUUCUUGUUAGGAACUAUAGUUUACGAGUACAAACAACUCUUAUAAAAAAUUAAUUUAGAAAAUGAUGUGUCAAAAUUUAAUUAGUAAAUAAUUGAUCAUACAUGGACGAGAUCAGUCAUUGUAACUGACCAAAGUCAUACACAUUAUUUUGUAUCUUCUUUUUAUAACAAUUCUUUAGUUAUUGAAACCAAAAUUUGACUUCUUGUUAUGAACUAAUUAACUACUAUGGGAUAUUGUAAAUUAUUACUUAAUUAGUAUCUUAAUUAAGUUAAUUAAUUAGUUCCUUGUUGUUGUAUUAAGUACAACACAGUACAAGGUACAGCAAUACAAGCUGGUAUUAGUUUAUGAGAUUUUGACAUUACUAGUAGUGCUUGUUUUGUGAUGUUGAAAUUUUAGCAAAGAAAUUCGUUAAAUUAAUUUUAGAUAUACUCCUACUACUUGUUAAGUUUUUUUUUUUUUCUUUCAAAAUAUAUGACAUUUUUCAAUGCUCUUUCUAUUUCCUUCAUCAUGUAUAUCCUUGCAAUUAUCUAUUCUUCUUUCUCUUUUCUUUUUCUUCUUAUCUCUCCUUCCAUAUGCAUGUAACUCUCUUUUAAUUAUCAUCAGUAAGGAGUUUGCAUUCAUGGUGGAAGUAAUUUUAUAUUUUUUUCAUAAUAAUUUAUCUAAAACUCAAAGGAAUAACUUUUUAUAACGAAAAUUAAUGAUUGGAAAAAAAUGAAAAAGGAAAAAACCUUGGAUGAGAUCUAGAAAUGAAAAUUUGAAGGUGAAAAUAGGGGGAAAAAAAGAGAGAUGACAUAUAUAAAUUAGGGGUAAAAUUCAGAUGACCACCUCUAGUAUCUGACAUUUCCCACAUAACCACCUAUAUUACGUAAACCUACAUUUAAACACUAGUGGUUUUGAGUUGAAGUGAAAAACAGCUUUCCGUCUAGACGUCCUUAAUGGGAAUGGAUAAUGACUUUUUUGCCCCUUGAUAUAUAUAUUGAAAAUGACCUAAAAUGUGGUCAAUUGUGUAGACGGGUCUAGGGCUUGCAAUUGAGGCAAUUUUCUGGCGAUUUCUUCACGAAUGCUUCAAAUCUAAGUGGAAACCAAAGCCUUUUAUGGUGUUUGUGGAAGAAAUUGUAUCUGGAAGCUAAUAUUUUACUGUAGAUCGAGGUAAGUAUUAACUAUUCGAUUCGAUUUGAUGUUUACUGCUAUUUAAGUGUUAUGUACUAUGUUGUGUGAGUUUAUCUUACUUUUGGUCUGAUUUGGGAUGGCUUUUCAAGAAUAAAUAUUGUUGUGUUGGGGUCCCUCUGAUUUGUGAUGUUUUCUGAUAGAUUUAUUUUGUACAAUAAUAUGCCCCCACUUGUUUGGUCCCCUCUGUGUAUAUGGAUUUGGUGGUGUUUGAUGGAAUAUUUUAUGCUUUAGUGGCAUGCAUGCUAGACUUUGAUUUGUUUUUUUUAGUAUUGGUGGUCCCCCCUGUCUCCCAAACAUGUUUUGUUUCUUAUCCAAAAUUUUCUCCCUCAUAUGUUUAAUGCAGAAUGUCUGUGAGAGUUGUGUUCCAUUAUGGUGGGACUUUUGUUAAAGAACCAAUUAUUGAUUAUGUUGGGGGUAGUGUUGAGAUUAUAGAGAAUGUAGAGUUGGAUAAGAUAUUUUUGAUGGGGAUACAUGAGUUCCACUUUCAGUUAAAUCCAAUCCCACAUGUGAACAUUUAUUAUCUUGUACCUGGUUAUGAGUUAUGGGAGGGUGGGACUUUAAUUCUAAGUGAUGACACAGAUGUAUGUGAGAUGGUAGACGUACUAGUUAAUAAUGAGAGUGAAGAGGUAGUUUUAUAUGCAGAACAAAUGGAGGGUCCAAUACAAGUUGUAGGUAAAGGGAAUGAAUCUGAAAAGGGUAAAGGGAAGGAAUCUGAAAAGGUAAAUAAAUAUAGAGAACAACCUAUGAAAAGAAAUGAAAAUAGGGGUGGAGAGGCAGACCAUCCCUCUUGGAUGGAUGAAGAUCUAGAGGGGCCUGGGGAUGAUGACAUAUUUAAAGAAGGGAAAAAAAAUAGAUUUUGAUAACUCCAAAGAUGUCUUUGUAGAAGAUUGGUGGAGUGAUGAUGAGGGAGAAGGGAAAGAGGCAUUAAGAAAGAAGUUUGUUUUAUCUGAUGAUGAGGACAACUUAGAAAGGGAUGGGUCUAUAAAAUUUAAUGAGGACACUGAUAUGGGUAACAUAGAAUUUGAGGUUGGAAUGAAGUUUACAAAUCAUGAAAUUUUUAGGAAUGCUUUGGUUGAGUUUUCUGUAAAAGGGGGGUUUGACAUUAAAUACAUUCAAAAUGAUAAGAAAAGAAUAACUGUCAAAUGUAAAUCAAAAAAUUGUUCUUGGAGGAUUCAUGCAUCAGUUAAACAAGGUGAAGUAACUUUCAAAAUCAAAUCAAUGGGGGGGGGAUCACACAUGUGCUGGACAAGAGAAAAACCAUCUUGUUGACAGUAGGUAUUUGGCCAAAAAAUACUUGAAUGACUUGAGAGAUAAUCCUAAGUGGGAUUUGAAAGCAUGGCAGAAGAAGGCACAAAAGGAAUGUCAUUCCAGUCUUAGUAAAUCAUCCCUAUAUAGGGCUAAAAGAAAAGCUUUACAUUAUAUAUCUGGUGAUGUAGGAGAACAGUACAACAAACUUAUGGAUUAUAUUGAGAUAGUUAAAAAACUAAAUCCUGUGACAGUUUUCAAAUUCUGCAGUCAGUGUGUUGAGGGGCCUGGUUCUCUUCCAGUAUUUAAGAGACUGUAUAUGAGGCUGUUAGCAUGUAAACAUGCUUUCCUUGUUGGGUGUAGACCAAUAUUAGGUUUGGAUGGAUGUUUCCUAAAGGGGAUAUAUGGAGGGCGGAUGUUAAGUGCUAUAGGAAGAGAUGCAAAUGAUAAUAUUUUUCCCAUUGCCAUUGCUAUAGUUGAAAUAGAAUGUAGGGACAGUUGGCAGUGGUUUCUCACAGAACUGUUAGAUGACAUUGGUGAAAAUGAAACAAGAAGAUAUGUGUUUAUUUUUGAUAGACAGAAGGGGCUUGUAGAGGUUUUUAAUUCAAUGUUACCCAAUAAUGAACAUAGAUUUUGUUUGAAGCAUUUAUACAACAAUUUCAAAAUCAAAUUUAGGGGGAAGCUGUUGAGGGAUAUUUUCUGGAAUGCAGCUAGUUGUGGUGAUAUGUAUACAUUUGAAGCAGCUAUGAAGGAAAUGCACAAAGUUGAUCCUGAGGCAGUGAAGUGGUUGAUGGCUGUUGGGCCCAAAUAUUGGGCCAGAUCUCAUUUUUCACCCCAUUGUAGGUCUGAUGUAGUUGUAAACAACUUGAAUGAGUCAUGGAAUAAUUAUAUCAUUGAGGCAAGGGAUAAAGGGAUUAUUAACAUGCUAGAGUGGAUUAGGAAGAAAUUAAUGGUUAGGUUUCAGAUUAAAAAGGAGGGCAUGGACAAGUAUGGAGGGUCAAUUGGGCCAAGAAUACAAAAAAAAAUUAGAGAUCAAUAAGAAACAUUUUAGGGGAUGCACUGCAUUGAAGUCUGGAAUUGGGGAGUUUGAGGUUGAAAGUGACGACAAAACUUGGGUUGUCAAUUUGAAUGAAAAAACUUGUGGGUGCAGAAUGUGGCAGCUUAGUGGCAUUCCUUGCAAACAUGGAGUGACGACAAUCUGGGGUAAUAGGGAGCAGCCAGAGGCUUAUUUCCAUCCUUGCUAUAGCAAGGAAGCGUACUUAAGCACCUACAACUUUACCAUAAAGUCUGUUCCUAGUCAUCAUGAAUGGGUGCAAUCUAAAUUUCCAAAGAUUCAACCUCCAUUGUACCAUAAACCCACUGGCAGACCAAGAAAAGUAAGGAAAAAGGCACAAGAUGAACCAAAAAACCCUCACCUAGCAAGUAGAAGAGGUGGCACUGUAACAUGUGCAAGAUGUUUGACACUUGGGCAUAACAGCAGGGCUUGUAGGCAGCUAUUUCAUCCAAACUCCAAACUGAAGGUAUGUAUUUACAUUAUAUAUAGCUGAUAUAAUUAUGACUUUUUAAUCUGAAGCUAACAGGUUUGUAUUUGUAGGGGAAAAGCAGACCAACAGGUGAAACAACAGCUGCAAAGGAUUGGCAGUCAAAUGUUGGGGAAUCAUCUUCCCAUGUAACAGUUGAAAAUGAUGGUCCUAGGUUUAAAAUGCAAUGUUGAAUAAGCUAACAUAUUUGUUUGUAUCUUUCAGGCAAAAAUCAGACCACCAAAGUUGCAAAGUAAGGGGAAGGGUGCUAAUCCUGGACCUAAUUCUUCAACCUCAGAACAGCCCAAAUCAAGCUCUCAACCUAACUAGUCCACCAAGUGGACUAAUCCUGGACCAAGUUUGUCUGCAUGUUGCACUGGGGCUACUGAUCAACCAAGGUCAAGUUCACAGCCUAAUCCUGGACGAAGAAUGAAGAGCAUACCAAAAUUGAAGAAGCUUUUAUCAAAGGGCUGCAUUAUUAGUUCACCAAAAAAGGCAGGAAGGGGGGGGAUUAAGGCUCUGAUUUUGCCUUGGACUUAGUCUAGACUAAUAUGUAAUUAUAUUUUGGCACAGUUACAUGGAUGUUAGUUUUAGUUGCCUUGUUGGUAGUUUUUCGUAAACUUGAAUGGGCAGUGUAUAUUUUUGGCACCAGUGGUCAUCUACUUUGGUUAUCUGCUUUGGCACCACUAGAGUUAGCUGCUCACAAGGAACAUAUUUGUGUAUUUUUGAGAUAGGAACAGAUUUGUGUAUUUGAAAGUUUUGGCAAUGAUGACAAGUGAAUUGAUAUUUAUUGUGAUUUCCUUCUACACAACUGCUUGUUCUCGUUAGAUUGCUCAUCUUUUUUUGUGCAACAUAACUCCAAUAUAACAUGAACAACAAUAAUACUCCAACAUAACAUGAACAACAUAUUGCAGAUUAUAACUCCAGACCAAAAUAAAAACAAUUCAACUUUGAAAAAAAAUUCAACACAACUCCAAGAAUAAAAACUUACAUUUCAUUAAAUUUAGAACAUUAAAUAUUCCAUUACACUAACAUAUUUCAUUUCAUACUACUAAAAAACAUUAAAAACUUUCAUUACAUAUUUCAUUACACAUUAAAACCCUCACAUUACAAACUUUCACUUCAUACUACUAAAGAACAUCAGCAUGAAUGACAGGAGAAGAAAAACAACUCCAAUUAUCAUUAUUAUCUUCACAUGGCUUUCAACAAGCAUCAUCCUCAUAUGUAGAUUAUUCUUCUCACACAGACACUUGCAUGUUGUUCCCCUCACCACUGUUGUCCCCAUUCCUUCAUUGUGUUCAUUAGUAUCAGUAAGUGUACCACUUGAGUUUGUUGUAGAAGGCAAGCACCAUGCCCAAAAUUCACAUUCAUCACAUACAAAAUACAAUUUUCCCUUCGAUGGUUUGUUCGAGUCGACAAUUCUUACAGAAGCCUUCUUUCCACAUUUACAUUUCCUAGGUAUGUAUCGAAGGUCACCAUUAUUCCAUCCUACAUGAUUGCUUGACGAAGACAUGCCUCCUACUUCACAUAAACAUCAGCAAAAUCUUUAAUCAGCAAUUUAAAGCAUAAUAUUUACAUACUAACAUGCACAUAAAGCAAAUGUAUACAAGAUGUUACUUCAACAUUUUCACAAACACCUUCUGGGCGGCCAAAUUUGUAGUAACUUCAGCCCAAAUCUUGCUAACAAAUUACACAACUAAGAAAUCUAAUGAACAAUGUAUAACACUGUAUAACGAGUCAUACUCAUCUUGCUAACAAAUUACACAACUAAGAAAUCUAAGAAAGUCGAUUUGGGUAAAUUCGUUCUUCGAUAUACUCAUUAGAUUUCAAAGAAGCUAAAUAUACAUACCUGAGUUUUGAGUAAGACAAUUAAUAACCUUGAUGAAGACACUGAUAAUCCCUGGGACUGAGACAGAGCUGCUAAGGGACAAGUUAGGGCAUAAAUAGCCAACAAAAUGGCUCUUUAAUAACCAUGGUUGAAGAUGAGGGUAUUAUCGACUUUUUCCUAGCUCAUUUGACUGUUACACUCAUACCUCACGCUCUUUUAGCGAGUACACUUCACGCACAGUUAGAUUAGAUGGAAACUGUCUGUUUUUCAUUUCAACUCAAAACCACGAGUGUUUAAAUGUAGAUUUACGUAAUACAGAUGGUUAUGUGGGAAAUGUCAGAUACUAUAGGUGGUCAUCUGAAUUUUACCCUAUAAAUUAGGGAGAAGGGAGAGAGAGAGAGAGAGAGAAAAUGAGUGAGUAGACAUGAAAGGGUGUUUUGAGUAUUUAAUAAUAAUUUUAGUAAGGAGUAAUUAGGUUUCGGAAUCAUUUUGCGGAGGAUUGGAAUGACGACCGAAGCAGUUCAGGCUUGCUGAAAACAUUCAAUCCCAACGGUGUAAUGUUCAGCUCUUUCUACAGGGACUGAGAGAUUCAAAUAUUGCUGCAGAUGUCAGUAAUUUCUGAAAUCUCAUACAAAUCCCUUUUGUCAAAUCAUGAUGCUCAGUUUUCUAUACAAGAAUUUGCUUAAAAACACUGCUACUGCUUCUUUAAAAUCACCCCAAUUCUGUAUUUUGAAUCAGAGAUGUUUCUUCGGAUCUGAAAUUAGUGAGAGACGAAGGGAAUCAAUUUUCUCCCUCUUCAAAAUCUAUGGCUUCUCUGAAAUCCAAAUCUCCAACCUCAUAAGAAAAAGGCCAAUACUGCUAUCUUCCCAUCCAGACAAAAUACUAAAACCCAAAUUAGAUUUCUUCAAUUCAUAUGGGUUUUCACCCUCUGACCUUGAUAAAAUACUCACUACGGACCCCGGUAUCAUGAAUAGAAGUCUUGAUAGUCAAAUUAUACCUUCGUGUGAGUUGUUGAAGAGUGUACUUGGGGAUAAUGGGAGUGUAAUUGCUGUAAUAAAGAGGCACACUCCGGUACUCAAGCAAGACCUUAAAAAAAGAUUAGCACCCAAUAUUGCUGUAUUGCGCGAUUAUGGCGUGUUGGAUGAAAGGAUUAGCACAACGCUAAAGAGACAUCCUAGGACAUUGGUGCAAGCUCCUGAUAGAUUUAUAUUGCUGGUUGAAGAGAUUAAGGGAAUGGGUUUUGAACCGGUAAAGAGUCAUUUUAUUGUGGGAUUAGAGGUAUUGGCUGGGUUGAGCAAAUCAAUGUUUAAGCGAAAGUGGGAUCUUUAUAGGAAGUGGGGUUGGUCAGAUGAUGAGAUUCUUUCGGCUUUUAGGAGGCAACCCCAAUGUAUGUCACUUUCGGAGGAGAAGUUGGAGCGGGUGAUGGUUUUUUUGGUUAACAGAAUGGGAUGGGAUGCAUCAAAGGUUGCAUCUUGUCCAUCUGUUGUUACUUAUAGUUUGGACAAGCGGACUAUUCCGCGGUGUUUGGUUGUUCAGUUUUUGUUGUCUAAGGGUGUGAUAAAGAAGGACUUAACCUUGAGUUCAUUCAUGAAUAAGUUGGAGAAACAAUUCUUAGAAAAGUUUGUGGUAAAAUAUUGUGCAGAAUUCCCUGAAGUUCUUGAUUUGUAUGGAAGGAUAGUGGAUGAUAUACAGAAGUUGCAGGUUAGCUGACUUUCCACCUGGGGGGAAAGAUUCUUUUGCCUCUUACAUUAUUAAGAAAUAGAAAUUUAGUAUCUGAUGAUGCAAACCAUUGCUUAGUGUUGGAUGGAUCAAGUUUUGUUGACUAGUAUCAGAAGAGUUCAGUAAGUCAAAAAGUAAAAGAAUUACCAAUGAUGGUUUGUAUAUUUGGAAGUAGUUCUUAAUUUUAUGGUGGAGAAGCAGACUAUUAUCCCCUACUUAGCAAUUCAAAGGUUUUAACAAAGAACUCUAGAUUGGUUUUUUGCUUGUAUAAAGUGGGCUUCUUCUUGAGCUACCAACCAUCUGAUCAAGGAUUUGCAAAUUGAAACCAAUGAUUUUGUUCCGGCGGGAGGUGGAUUAUAUUGUCUCAAGCCUUAGCUCAACGAAACCAAACAGUUGGUAGGUAUAAUGGUGUUGAAGAAUGUUAACCUAUUGUUUAAGCACAUACUUUUCUUAUUUGCUAGUUUAUCCCUUGUAUUUUUUUCCUUCUAAUAUUUAUAGACGAUUGAUGAAACUCUUUUUACAUGCUUAUACAUUGAUUGGAUGGCAAUUUAUUUUCAUCUGGUUUUAGUAUAAUGUACGGCUUACAAAGUUCAAAUACUUUGGUUGAUGCUUAAACAUUUUCUUAAUUGACACUUGAUCACUUGGAAAAUUUGCUCUCUUAUAUUUAUGUUUUUCCACAUGUACCAUUACUACAUUUUGUUUUACCUAGUUAUAAAUGUAUUUUGUGGAACUUCUUGGUGUAAACUGUUAAUUUCGUUUUAUUUUUUAUUUGGGGCGAGGAGGGUGAUAUCUACUACUUUAAUUUUUUGGAAAGAAAUUAUGGAUAGAAGACAGGUGGACGGUGGUACUUGAAAAAGAUGAGAAAAGUAAUAUGCCCAAAGAAAAAAAAGUGAAAAUCAAAAAUAAAAAACAAUUUUAAAAGCCUGCAGCACUUUAUUCUUAUUGAGAUAAUCUGAAACUAAAUUCCCCAAAAUGACUAUUCUUUAUGCUGAAGAACACCUCCAAAUCCUCUUUUCACUUGCUAUUGCUAACCCAGAGUAGUUUAUAAGUAAAGAGCGUCAAGUAACUACUUGAAAACAUUGACAAAUAGGAGCUUCAUGUAACAUUUUAUCGUAGUUUAUGUUGUAACAGAAAUUAUGCUAAGGUUAGAUAAGGUGUUUCUCCUUGAUGGGGUCCUCCUAACUUAGAUCCAGUCUUCAGUCUUGCGGUCUAAGAGAAGGGUUAGAAAGACCCUCGUCCUUAGAAAGCCUCAGAGGUCUUAGUGUCAGUACAACUCCAGAACUCCUUGGAAUGGUUGAGACUUGAGAGAGUCUUUCUCUCUCUAAAGUUUAAGCUAGUAUCUUGUAGAAUGAAUAAUAGUUAUGAUAAUGGUUAGAGGGGUCUCUCAUAUUUAUAAGGAGGAAUAUUUGGUAAUUACCCUUAUUCCCUUAAUGUGCAACUGCAAGGAAGGUCUGAAUUGUCCUGUGAAAUGACUGUAAUACCACCAUUGGUGUGAGGCCACAUAUCAUCUUCUAGCUGAUUUUAUUUUUACAUCCUCACAAUUUAUAUAAGGUUCGGAUAUGAAAAUUAUGAGACAAGUCGGAUUUAGUUGUCAAUUGUCCAUGACUACAUAUUCAAGCCAUAGCAUUUAUACUUCACGUGGUCAUUAGUCAUGGUUUAUUAUGAGGUGCAACUAGCUUACGUUAUUUAGGAUUAGUGAUAUAGGAGAAAGUAACAUGGGUUUAGGCUCGUCGACACCUACGAGGUAGAACCGUAGAAGAACAAUUUUAAAACUCUCCUACACCAAAGAGGAAUUACAAUUUCUAACCUCUCCUACACCAAAUAAAAAAGUCUAACUAUGGGAUAAAUAUAUAAUUUCUAAUUCGCUCUUACUUAAGUGUGUACCAAAGUUAUAAGAUAUUCUCAUUGAUCCAGUGAAUCACGUAUUAGUAUUUGCGUUCCUAAACAUUGUACUCUUACAUACUAAUACUUCAAAUUUUAGCGUUCCUAAAUAUUUAUUUGUAAUUUACCAUUAAUUAAUUGAACAACUACCAAUAUUUUGAUUUGGUUAUUGAUGCUCAAAAAAUCACAUUUUUACUAAAUUAUUUCUAGAACAUUCAUCUUGUUAUGUAACUAAAAAUCUUCCAUGAAAUUCAGCUUUAUUGCAUUUAGAUUCUAGGAAUGUUCCUGAUUAUAAGCAUCUAUACUGAAGCUACAUUUUGGAAUCAUGAUGAGCUGAGAAAUCAUAUGGAACCAUGAUAAAAGCUGAUGGACUUGGUAUCAAGCUUGUGGUAACUUCUUUGGUAUCAAGAGUUUGUUCCAUUCUUCCAUGAAAAAGUUGUUCAUAUUAUUUAAUCAUCAGACAAAUUGAAAGAAAAGAUGAUGGUGACUUAAUUUUAAUCAGACUUUUCUUUUUUCUGUAGAAUAUUUAUUCCUACUGCUGUUUCUUUAGGUGUUGACAGUGUUUUUCUGCCGGCAAUUUUUAGUAUACUACCUUUAAUUUCCCCAUGAAUGUUGAAAUUGCCAAUUAAUCUCGUCGUGUAAAAUUUUGUUCUAAAAUUGGUUGAAAGUUUUGGGUUAUGAAGGUUGUCAUUGUUUUAGGCUAAUUGGUGUUUUAGUUACUGUAUUAGGAGUCGAUUUUCAUUUAGUUUAGUAAUUUUAAUUGCACUUGUAAUCCGUUGAUUUUGAAAUUUGGGAGGAAAUUUAUAUUUAUCCACCAUCAAAUUCCUAAUUUUAACCUCAAAUCUAGUUGGCGAAAAAUGAUAAAAUGAUUAAUAAUUUUCAUUUAUCCACCGUGAAAUUCCUAAUUUAAAAGUGUAUUAAAUUUAGGACGUAUUUUUGUUUUAUAUUUAUAACUAAAUAUAUCAAGCUAUUAGUUCAGUAGUGAUAAUAUGAUAAUAUAAUUAUACUGACAAAAUUAUGAACAUAAAUAAUAAUUCUAUAAAUGAAAAAUGACUUUUUUGUGAAAUAAAAAAAAUUAUAAACUAGACUUUUUUGGAACAAGGGAAUAUAAUUUUCAGACGAAUGGUUACAAAUAAAAUGGUAGAUACUUCAUGGACCCUUUUAUAAAUCUUGGGUAUUAUAGAAUAAAUUUUGUAAUUUACCCUUUAAUUUAAUUAUUAUUUUUUUAUUCACUCAUAAUUUCAUUUCUCUAUUACUUACUAAAUCUCGAAAGGCUGACAGACCUGGCAAAAUCGGCCCAGGCCUGCGGGCCGAGCCAGCCCGCCCGUUAAAAAGUGAGUUAUGGGCUUCAUUUUUUCAACCCAUUAAAAUCUGGGCCUUUUUGGCCCGACCCAAUGACAACCCGCCCGUGGGCGCUCGACCCGUCCAGUCAUUUUAAAAAACCCUUAUUCUGAUUUCUGGCUUCUGGGCUAAGUGGCUACUGAGUAGUGAGUACCAGCUAAGUGGUUAACCCUUAUGGCCUUACCCUUACGCCUUAUGCCCUUAUUCUAGAUUUCAAUUUUCAGAUCUGAGAAAGUGAGAAGUGAGAGACAGACCGAGAGGGCGACAGUCGAGAUCGGAGACGACUCAGACGAGACUCCUCAAGUUCAAGUGUUCAACAGAGAGAGUGUGAGACAACAAAUCAACGAUCCACACUUCGAUCGAUCUCCCGUGCCGAGUCGCCGACUGACGAGUCACGACUCACGAGUGACGUCUGUGUUACUGUGCAGCUUCUUCUUCGGUUCUUCCCUACAGGUAGCUUCUUCUUCUCUACACUUCGAUCGAUCGACACUGCUAUGUUCUGUUUUUGUUUUUACUUUUUAGUUUGUUUCUGGCUUUCUGCUACACUUCUGUUUUUGUUUUCAGUUUAUUUUCACUUUUCAGUUUGUUUUCAGUUUGGGGUUACUAAAUUUCUUCAAUUUUGGUAAAACCCUGCAAUUUCGGCAAAAGAAGAGAAGCAAUUUCUGCAAUUUCUUUUGUUGGGGUUACUAAAUUUUUUCAAUUUUGGUAAAAGCCUGCAAUUUCGGGUUGAUAGAGAUAUCCGAGCAGGCCAGAUUUGAGAGUGUAUGCUAUUAUUUCUUGAUGAAACCAUGUCGAGGGUUUGUUGAAGUGUAUGUAUGUACGUUUAGACAGAAGUGACUGAAAAUAUUACCAAAGCUUUGUUCAAAAUUGUGUUCUUUCCUAUAUAGUAGUUUUACAAUGGCUUUAGCUCUUAAUUACCUUACCUGUAGUAAUACCCAGUUUUACGAUCCUCCUCAUGCCAGUUCUUAGGUUCUUUUACAAUGGUGAAUGAGUUAAUUCCAACAUUUUGCAAAUAAUUUUUUUAUACCAACUGAUCUACCAUGAAUAGAGGAGUUGGUAUACUGUACGUACUAGAAACUCCUCUCUGUGAAAUUUGAUACUUGGGAGAUAACGGACACUUGUCCAUAUUAUAUUUAAGUCUAUGAUUUCUUACUUUAUUUAGAUAAUAUAGAUAUGGAUGGAUGGGAACAGAAUGCAUGCAAGGCAAGCAAAUAAGAGACGAGAUCUGCCAACUAAUUUGAGCAUAUGCAGACAUGCAGUAGUAAUUUGUUUUGUUUCCAGGUAUGAGGGAGGAGAAGAAAGUGAUGGAUCAUAUUCAUAUAUGAUAUGAUAUGAUAUGGUUAGCUGAACCUGUCUGCCUGACCAUAACCAGUUAAAUGACAUUGUAUUACCCUGUUUACCCUGUUUAUCUAUAAAGUGAAACAUGAUGAGUUAAUGAUCAAGCAACCAUGUAUUUACUCUUGAUCAUCAUUGUGCAGGUACUAAUCAUGGAUAGAAUUACUGUGAAAGUCAUGUCUUGCUCUUGCAAAAUGGCAGAUAUAACAGAUGAAGGACUUAUGUUUUGUUAUGUCAACAGUCAAAUGAAAUGAAUAGUUUUUGUUUGAAUUUGUAAUUAUGUAUUUGGAUUUUGGAGCUUAUUUCUGUAAUUCUGUAUUUGCAUUUGGAUGAUACUUGUUGUAAUUGCUGCAAAGCUUGUUGUAUUUGGAUUAUUUUUUGUUUGAUUUUUUUGUGAUUUACAGAUAUUUUUUUUUAAAAAUAAAUAAAUGAAAAGGCCCAUGGGCCGGGCCGGCCCAACCCGGGCCAUGGGCCGCUUAGUUUCAGCCCACUAAAAUCCGAGGGCCCGGCCCGUUAGUGGCCUGCCUGCUGACGGCCCGGCCUGUUUGGGCCAACCCGGCCCGUUUGCCAGGUCUACAGGCUGAGUACAAGUUUCUCAGUAACAAUUCCAUUUGGAAUUACACUAGGCUUGGCCUUGUCCAAAACGUCCCGAGCUCAUUGAUCACUGUUGGGCUGCUAAAUGCGCCGUCGGCCGACCUUUUGAUCUACAUGGCUUUGGUAUGGGCCUAAAGUUUCAAGGCAGCAUCAAGCUCCAAAUUAAAUCUUGGAACAAUUACAUAUUCUAAUACAUUUUUAAAAAUAAUUACAUCAAUAGUGCACUCAUAUAAUAUUUACAAUUUAAUGCAUUUAAUGUUUUUAUUUACAUUAAAAGUGCAUUCUUAUCCUUUUAAUUUAGUUGAGUGUUUUAAUAAGUUACAAUUUAACACUUUCUCUCUCCUCCCUUCAUCAUCCACACACCCCCGCCCCCCUCCAUCUCUUUAAUUUUCUCUCCCCUUCUCCACUUAUCACUCCUAAUGGCCGACAUUCACAACAACAACAACUCUGUCUUCUCUUCGUCCAACAAGAAGAGAUCAUUAACUUUUAAUUCCGAUGAAUUUUCUCUUGAUAGUGUACAGUCAGAAUGCGAGCAACCCACCAAGUCCGACGUCCAUGUCUGAAGAUGGAAAUGAUGAUGAAGUAAGAUGUGCUGGGUCUUGGGCUACAACAUUGAUCUCUGAGCUCUCUCAUGUCAAAAAGGAAAAGAACAUUGGCAGUCCAAGAAAGGGUGACAAAUCAAUUUAUUCACAGAUCAAACCUCAAAAAAAAUGCAGCGCAUCGUGAAGUGACUUUUUGUCCUUGUUGAGGCGGAGUUUGUCAUCUUUUUUUUUUCCAUAAUGUUGGUAGCCAAACCUUUAUAUAAAGGUAGCCAAUUUAAUUUUAUUGGGUUACCAAUUAAUUAGUGCAUUCUUAUCCCUUUAAUAUCAAACUCUUUUAACCUUCAUACAACAGCUUCUGAGGCUUUUUUGCAAAAAACAAGUGGGCUUUGUAAAGAGUUUGAUAUUUUCAGUCGUCUAAAAGGUAGGCUUUGUUUGAUAAUUUUUUCAAAGUGCAGUUGGUAGCCAUACAUUCAUACCAAGGUAACCAAUUCAGUGUUAUUAGGUUACCAAUUUAUUUUGAAUGUGAUGCAGUUGGUAGCCAAACCUUCAAGUAGUUGUGCCAAACCUUUUAUACCAAGAUAACCAAACCUUUAUAACAAGGUAGCCAAUCUACCUCCACACCUGCAGUAUGAAUUGGUUACCUUGGUCUGAAAGUUUGGCAACCAACGGCUUGAAGGUUUGGCUAUCAACUGCAUCACAUUCAAAAUAAAUUGGUAACUUAAUAAAACUGAAUUGGUUACCUUGGUAUGAAGAUUUGGCUACCCACUGCUUUAAGGUUUGGCUAGCCUCACCCAAAUCUACCCAAUCAAAUUCAUUAACCAACAACCUCACCAUUUCUCUUUCCUCAAAUCCCUUCCCCACCACCCCAUUCUUUCUCUCCUCCACCACCUCCACCACUCCUUCCACCUCCCAACCCACCACCACCUUCAACCUCCUGCAAACCCACCUAGCCGCCCAAAACUUCCGGCAAGCUGACGAAGAAACCCGCCGCCUCCUAAUUGCACUCGCCGACGACACCGCUAUCAAGCGCGGCUACGUCUUCUUCUCUGAGGUCUAUUACUGAUUAUGUUUCUUCUCGAUUGCUCCUUUGUUACAGAUUACAAUGAUCUAUGAAGUUUCAUUUUUGUUCUUCGUCGGAUUCAUAAAUUGGCGACGUGAUUUUUAAGUAUUUGGGUUAGUUGGUAACUGCCAAAAUAAGUGGAGUAGUUUUCUCCUUGAAUAAGGGUUUUCUUUUUUUGUUGGAUUGGAUAUACUGAUGUGUAUUGCACUAUUGUUGAUAUUAUUAUACAGUAUUUGACUGUUAAUACAAUUAUUUGGUUGGUGCACUAUUAUUAUAAUUACUUUUUAUUUGUUAUAUACUUAUGUAAAAAACCCUUAAAUCUUAUGUUGUAGUUCUUUUGGGAUGUCUCUCAUAGCCCAAAUGAGCUUGAGAUCAUAAAACAUUUGAUUUCAUGUAUUUUAAAGAAAAAUGAUAUUUGUGCUCCAAAUUUUCUCAUUUACACUCAAAUAUAGAUCAAUAAAUUUAAAAUCACUUUAUAUUUGUAAUGAAAUGUAAAGAGACAAAUUUGAAACGCAAAAAUAUCGGUCAAGGAAAAUGGUAUACCUUAUGUUUAUGUAUCGACUCUUUUGUUAUAAGUUAGGUGAAUAAUUAUUAUUAAUAAUAUUUUAACGAUAUAUAUGAUAUAGUGGGUCAAUUUUAUAAUUUUAUUUUGUGCAAUACAAAGCAAGACUCAGCGACGUGUAAUGUCAACUAUUUUGCAAAUCAAAUUAUAAGAUCACUAAUGAUUUUUAAAAAUUAAUUUAAUAUAUUUUAAAAUUCAAAAUUGAGAUAAUUCAUUAAAAAAAAUAAAAAAAUAAAUUUUAGAAUGACAAAUACUUUUUAGACAAUGAAUUGAGCAAGUAAAACUAGUCCAUUCGUCACUCUUUGGCGUGACAAACUAAUAAUGAAUAUAAAGAAAAAUGGACAGUUUUGAGUAGUGAAAGCACAAUGCUUUGAUUUGCGUAGAAGCAACAUUUAUAUGUAACAUUAAUUAUUUUAUUAAUGAAAAACAAAUAAUUUAUUUUGACUAUAAAUUAUUUUAUUAUAUAUUUUUGUGAUGAUGAUGUAUUUUUAAUACUUAAUAAUUUAAUACUCUUUUAUAAAUUUAGAAAUAAAAAUAUAAGGCUAAUCUAUCUAUAAUUUAAAGAAAAAUAAUAUACAUACUCAUAAAUAAUUAACCAAAUUGAAUGUAGAAGUAUGCCGUAAUAUAGAAGAAAUUAAAGUGAUCAAAUACAUGCUAUCUCAUUAUUAUAACUGGGCCGGGCCUAAAAAUUUUAGGAAUGAACAGGAGGAGUCUUAAAAGUAGGAGAAGAAAUAGGUUUCGGAAUCAUUUUGCGGAGGAAUGACGACCGAAGCAGUCCAGGCUUGCUGAAAACCUUCAAUCCCAACGGUGUAAUGUUCAGUUCUUUCCACAGGGACUGAGAGAUUCAAAAAUAGCUCCAGAGGUCGGUAAUUUCUGAAAUCUCAAAUCCCUUUUGUCAAAUCAUGAUGCUCAGUUUUCUAUACAAGAAUUUGCUUAAAAACACUGCUACUGCUUCUUUAAAAUCACCCCAAUUCUGUAUUUUGAAUCAGAGAUGUUUCUUCGGAUCUGAAAUUAGUGAGAGACGAAGGGAAUCAAUUUUCUCCCUCUUCAAAAUCUAUGGCUUCUCUGAAAUCCAAAUCUCCAACCUCAUAAGAAAAAGGCCAAUACUGCUAUCUUCCCAUCCAGACAAAAUACUAAAACCCAAAUUAGAUUUCUUCAAUUCAUAUGGGUUUUCACCCUCUGACCUUGAUAAAAUACUCACUAUAGACCCCGG